rnacentral:lncRNA from 1 species
UAGUAUAGCAUUAAAGCCCCCCAUAAUCAGCCACGAAAAGGGAUCGUUAAGUAACACGAUUAUUAAAUCAUCCCAUAGAGAAUUUCUCUUUGCUCUGUCAGGACUACCAUAAACAAAAAAGAUAAGAAAGAAGUUAUUGGUAACACUGCCAAAAACUCGAAGGAGAAUGAACUGGGGAUGAUUAUGAAUGACACUAAUCUGAAUAGAUUCCUUUCAGCCCACCCAAAUUUCUCUUGAAAAUCCAAUAACCUCAAUACGGUGAGAAAAAUCAAAACCUAAUUUAUCAAUAAUUGAAUUUACUUUAUUAUCACUAAUUUUUUGUUCCAGUAGACACAAUAUCCGGCCUAUACUCGAUAUUAAAUUCACGGAAGACAUAGAGAAAUUUGUUGCUUGCAUAGCCUUGAAAAUUCCAAGAAAAUAUUGUUAAAAUUAAAUCCAUAUUAUCAAAAUAAUAAUAAAAUUAAGAUAAAACAAUUAGAUAUUACUGCUUAGAGCUUAUAAAACAAACCUGAAGUCUUUUCGCUGCAUUUGAACCAUUUAGGCCCAAUUCUUCGAUACUUUCUGUCGAAGUAGCCUUAGCCAACUUGGACAUAGAAACACAUAACAAAUAUUUAGAAAAAAUUUUAACCUUAAAAUUGCUCUAUUUCCCAUGUGGUUUUGUUAAUUUUUUUUUAAUAUCUUGAAAACUCUUUUCUUUCCCUCCCAUCAUUCUCCUCGAAUUCAUUGAUCUACCAGCCUCCAAAUCUGAAACUUUGGUCUCCUCCGACAAGGUGUUGUCGACUGGGACAGUGACUUUGAAAGAAGUUGUCAAGUGCUUAAUAGGGUUUAGCCCUCCAGUGGAGAUGGCGACUAGAACUUCCACUGGACUUAGCAUCGAAGAAGUUGGUUUGGUUGGGAGCUUUGGGACACUAUCACUGUCGACAUUAAAAAAGCCCGAUCUCGAGUCUGAAAUCUCACCCUCACUUGUUGGACAUUGAGUUCACUAACAGAAACCCCUGUAACAAAUGAUUGCCGCCGACUGAUAGCCUCAUUAACGUAACUUCGAAUGAAUAAAGUUUUCCUAGCCCUUGGCUAGGAGGACGACCUAAUAGCCUGGCCUGAUAAAUUAACCAAC